CAGAUUGAAUGCGUAUGCCAGGAGAGCUGGAGUAAAGGUGAAAGAUCUAUUCAUCCAUCUUCAAUACUGACUUACCACAGUCCAGGACAGGAGGAGGAGUGAAGGCAGAGUACACACUGCACCAGUGGUGUGAAUACUCGUGCUGAUGCAGCAUUUCUCUAA